UGUCCAGUAAUUCCUAUCCCUACCUCCCCGUGGUGCAGACUGGGAUCCGAAUAACUGUAGGGAAGAUCGGGAAACUCCGGUAGGACCUUGGUCGUAUGCUGACAGGAAAGG
rnacentral:ribozyme from 1 species